UGGAUGCAUGUAUGUAAUCGCUUUGGAUAAAAGCAUCUGCAAAAUGGCAAAUU
rfam:Salmo salar isolate Sally breed double haploid chromosome ssa11, whole genome shotgun sequence.